GACGAACGCUGGCGGCGUGCCUAAUACAUGCAAGUUGAGCGCUGAAGGUUGGUACUUGUACCAACUGGAUGAGCAGCGAACGGGUGAGUAACGCGUGGGGAACCUGCCUUUGAUCGGGGGACAACAUUUGGAAACGAAUGCUAAUACCGCAUAAAAACUUUAAACACAUGUUUUAAGUUUGAAAGAUGCAAUUGCAUCACUCAAAGAUGAUCCCGCGUUGUAUUAGCUAGUUGGUGAGGUAAAGGCUCACCAAGGCGAUGAUACAUAGCCGACCUGAGAGGGUGAUCGGCCACAUUGGGACUGGGACACGGCCCAAACUCCUGCGGGAGGCAGCAGUAGGGAAUCAUCGGCAAUGGACGAAAGUCUGACCGAGCAACGCCGCGGGAGUGAAGAAGGUUGUCGGAUCGUAAAACUCUGUUGGUAGAGAAGAACGUUGGUGAGAGUGGAAAGCUCAUCAAGUGACAGUAACUACCCAGAAAGGGACGGCUAACUACGUG
rnacentral:rRNA from 1 species